UAAAGAAUUCCCAGAAACAAAUUUACUUAGCUCCUUACAUUGAUCAAAAUCAUUGGCAGUUGUUGGUUCUUUGUCCUAUAAGUAAUGUUGCUGUAUGGUUUUGUUCUUUGCAUCAUAAGCCCACUAUGCAUGUCAAAAAUUUAGUCAAAAGUGUUAUGGCUGUGUAUAAUGUCAUGAAUGGUAGAUCUACUGCAUUAUCAAAGAACUUAGAAUGGAUUUACCCCAUG